AUGUCCAACGUGCCCACCUCCCUCCGCGACUCCUCCCUCACCGUCUUCCGCCUCGCCAUCUCCAGCUCCGACCCCUGGCCCUUCUCUUCCUAA
rnacentral:rRNA from 1 species